CCUACGGGUGGCAGCAGUGAGGAAUAUUGGUCAAUGGGCGAGAGCCUGAACCAGCCAAGUCGCGUGAAGGAUGAAGGAUCUAUGGUUUGUAAACUUCUUUUAUAUGGGAAUAAAGUGAGGAACGUGUUCCUUUUUGUAUGUACCAUAUGAAUAAGCAUCGGCUAACCCAGUGCCAGCAGCCGCGGUAAUACGGAGGAUGCGAGCGUUAUCCGGAUUUAUGGGGUUUAAAGGGUGCGUAGGUGGUUAAUUAAGUCAGCGGUGAAAGUUUGUGGCUCAACCAUAAAAUUGCCGUUGAAACUGGUCGACUUGAGUAUAUUAGAGGUAGGCGGAAUGCGUGGUGUAGCAGUGAAAUGCAUAGAUAUCACGCAGAACUCCGAUUGCGAAGGCAGCUUACUAAACUAUAACUGACACUGAGGCACGAAAGCGUGGGGAUCAAACAGGAUUAGAUACCCGGGUAGUC
rnacentral:rRNA from 1 species